AAAAGCAAAAGAAAGGAUUCAAUCUCAAAGUCAAUGGCCAAGGAUACCAAAGGUUCCUCAGAUGCUGAGGGGGACCCAGGAUUUCAAGAAAUUCUACGAACCGAGGGUAAUUUCAUUGGGUCCUUACCACCAUGGCAAUCCCCACCUUCGCCCAGGGGAAAUGAUCAAGCCCCUAUUUGCCCAAAAAUUCCUGGCUGAUAGGAACCAGGACAUCGAUGCUUUGUACACAAAAAUUGAAAGUAAUAUCGAGGCAGUGAAGAAGUGCUAUGAUUGGAGUAGUACAAGCGAGUAUGAUGAUGAAGCACUCGCCUGGAUGAUGCUUCUGGAUGGGUGUUUUUUACUACAAUUCAUUUGCGGUACAGGUAUGAAAAACUUUCUUAGAUAUCACCAAAUAGGUUUUGUGGAGCUGGACUUGUUCCUGCUUGAGAACCAACUUCCUUUUGGAGUCCUCAAGUUGAUUUUUGAGGGAACAAGUUUACCAGUGGAAGAGACGAUUAAAGAAUUCGUCACUAACACCAUAAGGCCAGAAGGGUCGACAUCAGAAAUACAACUUAAAGAGGAGUACAAAGAGCCCUCUCAUCUCCUCGACCUCUUGCGAAGUGCUCGCCUAGGUAGGUAUAAAAAGAUUAGCAAGCAAGAACUAGGGAGUCAACCGGAACAAGAGCAGGAAGCUGGAAAAAAGGGAGAGUCGUCGUCGUCUCGAGGAAGAGAUGGAGGGUUCUGUUGCCCAUGGAAAAAAGGCAAACAACAAGGCAAUUGGCCGUCUUUUCGACACAUCAAGGAGCUUAAAGCUGCCGGGAUCCAUCUCCAACCGAGUGCAACGAGUUCCUUGACAGACAUUUAUUUCAAUUCCUACUUCUUCUAUGGCUACCUGAAACUUCCCCAAAUAAUCGUUGAUGACUCUACGAAGCCCAAGUUCUUGAACAUUGUAGCCUAUGAAAUGUGUCCAGAUGCCCCAGAUGACUAUGCGGUCACUUCUUAUGUAUGCUUCCUUUACGAGCUCAUUGAUCAUGCAGACGAUGUGAAGGAGCUGAGAUCUAAGCACAUUCUCUACAACUGUCUUGGCUGCGAUGAAGAUGUGGCCAAAAUUUUCAACGAGAUCGGCAAUGACUUGGUAGAUCCCGAUGCUUAUAAAGAAGUGAAAACUAGUAUUCAGAAACACUACGACAAGAGAGUGAAUAUUUGGAUAGCUAAAGGCCUUCACGAACAUUUCAGGUCUCCAUGGACUAUCAUCGCUUUCAUUGCUGCUGUUUUGAUACUACUUUUUACUGGGGUUUCGACCUACUACGCUCUUCCCGAUAAAUCUUCUUAUCGGGUUUCAGACCUACUUCGCUCUUCCCGCUAAAUCCAAGUGAGUCAUGGUAAUAUAUAUCUUCAAAUUGAUAAAUGGUAGUUUUUUCUAUUCAUUCUUUCAUUCGUUCAUGUACAGAGAAUAUAUAGAGGGUAAUCACCAUUCUAAGAAUGGGAAAGAAUGAUACAAGGAAAGAAUGAUAUAGGAAAUAACAAUUAAUAUUCUAAUAUCUCAACUUUCCUAAUAUCUCAAUAUUCUUAAUAUCUCAACUUUCCUAAUAUUUAAACAUUCCUAAUAUCUCAACACUAAAUAAUAUAAGGAAAGAAUGAUAUACGGAAAACAUUCCUAAUAUCUCAACACUUCCCCUCAAGUUGGUGCAUAGAUGUCACACAUGCCCAACUUGUCUAAAAAUUUUGAGAACACUUGACUUGAGACAACUUUGGUGAGGAUAUCGGCCAAUUGAUCUUCUGAUCGAAUCUUAGGCAAUUCCACAAUCUUAUCAUCCAAAUUUUCCUUAAUGAAGAAUCUAUCCACCUCGACAUGCUUUGUACGAUCAUGUUGUACUGGAUUAUGAGCAACGUCACAUGCGACUUUAUUGUCACAAAACAAUCGAAUUGGUCGCCUAGAUAAGUAACCUAAAUCCUGUAAGAGAAGUCUUAGCCAUAAUGCCUCACAAAGUCCUAGAGUCAUACCUCUAAAUUCUACUUCUGCACUUGAACGAGCGACGACAUUCUGCUUCUUACUUUUCCAUGUCACAAGAUUACCACCUACAAAGGUAAAGUAACCAGAUGUAGAUUGCCUAUCAUCCACUGCACCGGCCCAAUCAGCAUCAGUAUAUACUUCUAUACUCUGAUGAUUAACAUUUUUAGCGAACAAAAUUCCCUUCCCAGGAGCAUUCUUCAAAUACCUCAAAAUACGCAUAACUGCAUUCAUAUGUUGCUCUUCAGGAUUAUGCAUGUAUUGACUCACUACACUCAAUGCAUAAGCAAGAUCUAGUCUUGUAUGAGCUAAGUACAUUAAUCUCCCUACAAGUCUCUGGUAUCUUCCCUUAUCCGUUGAUACUUGAUUAGGCUCAACACACAAUUUCAGACCUUCUUCUAUUGGUGUAUUAACAGGUUGACAUCCCGACAUUCCAGUCUCCUGUAAAAGAUCUAAGGCAUACUUUCUUUGAGACAGAAAAAUUCCUUCACUUGAUCGAUAAACUUCAAUCCCAAGAAAGUAUUUCAGAGGACCUAGAUCUUUCAUUUCGAAUUCUUUAGAUAGAUAAUUUUGGAGAGCUUUUAUUUCUUUAGGAUCAUUUCCUGUAACUACCAUGUCAUCCACAUAUACGAUGAGUGCGAUAAUCUUACCAUGUUGCUUUUUCAGGAACAAAGUAUGAUCUGAAUUACUUUGAUGAUAGCCAAAAGCUCUCAUUGACUUUGUGAACCUUCCAAACCAUGCUCUCGGGGAUUGCUUCAACCCAUACAAUGACUUCUUCAAUUUGCACACCUUCUGACAUUGCUUUUCUGACACCAUGCAUCCUGGUGGAAGAUCCAUAUAUACUUCUUCAGAUAACUCGCCAUGCAGAAAGGCAUUUUUCACAUCGAAUUGUUGUAAUGGCCAAUCUAGUUUUGCAGCUAAAGACAGUAAUACUCGAACUGUGUUGAUCUUAGCUACAGGUGCAAAUGUCUCUGUGUAGUCAAUUCCAUAAGUUUGAGUGUACCCUUUUGCUACCAGUCUUGCUUUAAAUCGUUGAAUACUACCUUCUGCCUUGUACUUCACAGUAUAGAUCCAACGACACCCAACUGGCUUCUUUCCUGGUGGACAUUCUACGAGUUCCCAUGUUUCAUUCUUCUGCAAUGAUUUCAUCUUUUCAUUCAUGGCUGCUUUCCACCUUGGAACAGCUAAGGCUUCCUGCACACUGUUAGGAAUAGCUACAGUAGAUAAUUGAUUUACAAAUGACUUAUUUGAUUCAGACAAACGAUGGUUAGACACAUAGUUGCUCAUUGGAUAUUUGACUUUGGUAGACAAUUCAGGUUCAUAUGUAGGUUUAGGAAUACCUCUAUUAUGACGGUGUGGUAACUGUUUCAUGAAUGGAUCAGGUUCCAAAUUAAGAACACCUUCAACAGACGACGAUUGGUUUGGUAUUUCAGUAAAGACAUUUUCGAACCCAAAUUGUUGACCACUCAUAUCCAACUCACCCGCUUCUUGGUUCACUAGUUUAGAUUGUCCAGAUUCAUUCUCCUUAGAGAUAUGAUAAUCAUAAUCGAGAGUCUGAAUUUCCUUAUGGUACUCCCCCUGAAGUUCAGACUCAGAUGAAAAAUACAUCGAAUCUUCAUGAAACACCACAUCCAUUGUAAUAUACAUUUGUCGAGUUGGAGGAUGGUAACAUCGAUAUCCCUUUUUGUGCAAUGCAUAUCCAACAAACACACAUUGCAAUGCAUGGGAAGUUAAUUUGGUGCGUUGGUGUUUGUGUAGAUGCACAAAUGCCACACAACCAAAAACACGAGGAGGUAGAUUUGGGACAGUUGGGGCAACUACGAUAUUAGUAAGAGCUUAGAGAGGUGUUUGGAAGUUAAUUGAGUUAGAAGGUACCCGAUUAAUCAAGUAUGCGGCAGAUGUGAUUGCUUCUCCCCAAUAAGAUAUCGGUGUUUUUGCUGCUAUCAAGGAAGCACGAACAACCUCUAACAAGUGCCGAUUUUUUCAUUCAGCGACUCCAUUUUGCUGGGGUGUAUUGGAACAAGUAGUCUGAUGAAUGAUGCCAUGUCCUUCCAAAUACUUUUGAAGAUCAAAACUUUGAUAUUCUCCACCAUUAUCACUAUGCAGAACCCGAACCUUUGCAUUGUACUGAGUUUCAAUCAUUUUAUGAAAAUUUUGAAACAACAAGUUCACUUCAUCUUUGGUCUUCAUCAAGCAUAGCCAUGUCAUUCUGGUACAAUCAUCAAUAAAAGUAACAAACCAACGUGAGCCACUCAAAGUUGGGACUUUGGAUGGGCGGCCCCAAACAUUAGAAUGUAUAACCAUAAAAGGAAACGGACUUUUGUUCAAAAUUAACGGAAACGAAACACGAUGGCUUUUAGCCAAUUCACAAAUAUCACAAUGGAAACCAGAAAUAUCACUCUUUGCAAACAAACUAGGAAACAAUUUUUUUAAAUAACCAAAGGAAGCAUGUCCCAGACGUCGAUGCCACAACCAAAUUUCAGACUUUUUCUUCUCCCCCUCAGAUCCAUCUGCCAUCAAGGCUUGUUGCAACUUAUUUGAAUCCUUUGACUGCAAGUCCAAGUAAUAGAGUUUUCCCCGCUUAAUACCCCAACCAAUCGUCUGUCUUGUUUGGAUGUCCUUAAUCACACAAAAUUCAGGCCAAAAAAUGACAAUACAAGAUAAGGCUGCGGUGAUUUGAGAAACUGACAAAAGAUUGUAAUUUAAAGAUGGAACAACUAAGACAGAAUCCAAAUUCAAAGUAUCAGUAAGAGUUAAGGAUCAUUCCCCAAUGACUGGGGUUAUGUUACCUUUGGCUGUGGAAACAAUUUUUUGUGAGGAAGGUCUAAGGGGUGAAACCUGUCUAGAAUCAAAAGUCAUAUGAUCUGUAGCACCAGAAUCAAUUAUCCUUGCACUAUUAAUAACAGGUGUAAAAGUAUUUAAAAACUUACCACCAUGAUUUGUAGCGGCUACCAAUGUAGAGGCUUUCUCAGCAACAUUAGCCUCUGUUUUUAUUUCGGCAACAGUUGCAAUCGAGGUUUUCUUGGAAUCCUUCUUCCGUUGAUCAAGAUUAUUAUCAUUAAUAACAAAGUGUUGAUAGCCUAAACAUGAUCUAAAGGUCCAUAGUUCAAACCCUCGGUUCCUCAUUGUUUUCCUGGUCAUACCAAGAGUCGUUGCUUUGAAAUUGUGGCAUAUCCAGAUUGGUGGGAUCAAUCUUAUUGUAGUGAGUGCAUUUGAAGGUUGACUUAUCAACAUUAGGGCUUGUCUUAGGAUGGAUGAUCGCUGUCGGACUACCAUAGCGACAAAAUAUCUAGGAUUUCAGUUCCAUGGCUCUGAUACCAUCUUCAAAUUGAUAAAUGGUAGUUUUUUCCAUUCAUUCUUUCAUUCGUUCAUGUACAGAGAAUAUAUAGAGGGUAAUCACCAUUCUAAGAAUGAGAAGGAAUGAUACAAGGAAAGAAUGAUAUAGGAAAUAACAAUUAAUAUCCUAAUAUCUCAACUUUCCUAAUAUCUCAAUAUUCCUAAUAUUUCAAUAUUCUUAAUAUCUCAACUUUCCUAAUAUUUAAACAUUCCUAAUAUCUCAACACUAAAUAAUAUAAGGAAAGAAUGAUAUACUGAAAGCAUUCCUAAUAUCUCAACAAUAUAUAUGGGUUAAUUAUGAAUGUGAUGUGUUUUUUUCUUGUUUGGUGUGUAUGAUUGUUGUAUCACUGGAUUUCAUGGACGCAAUAUUAUUAGUCUUUUCCUCCCCAUGAGUUUGCUAUAAUCUAUAUAAUAUAUGUUUGAACUCACAAUUUCCAGCUACCUUCUUUGUAUUCUUUUUCAUAGACCAGCAUCAUAGAUAACAAACUAUCCACAUAGAAAAUUUUCAGUUAACGGUGUGUAAUUCCGUGGAUGGGAUUGAAUAUUCAACACACAAUUGUUUUUUCGAAUAAGAAAAUUAUGGAUAUAUUAAAAUCAUAAUUUUGAUAUAUCUAUAUAUAUAUAUAUAUAUAUAUAUAUAUAUAUAUAUAUAUAUUUAGAAAAGCAAUUAAAAACUGCAUUUUUUAAUGAAGUCUUCUGAUUUUUAUUGAUUUUUUUUUUUCAAAUUUCCAACUUUUUUAAGAAAUCUUCUAAUACUCUUGAAUUCUUCAAGAGAUUUUUAAUCUUCUAUCUCUUUAAGGCUCUAGGACAUUUCUUUAUAAAAAUACGUACAUUCAUUUGGAGAUCAACUAGGGCUCCAUUAGACCCUAUGUUGGUCUAAAUAUUCAUUUUGCGAACCUUGGGAAUGGAUUUGAGGCAUUUGCCUACCUUGAAAUGUGAUUUACAAUCCCCACACAUUAUCCUUAAGAAAAAUAUAUACAUUCUUCACAAAAAUACAUACACUUUUUUGGAGGCUAACCUUGAUCCCAUUAGAUUCUAUUUAGAUCUAAAUAUUUAUUUGGGGAUCUUUGGAAUGAAGUUAAGUCAUUUUUCUAUCUUGAAAUGUGAUUUAGAACCCCAUGUACAUCUUUAAGAAAAAUAAGUAUAUUCCUCACAAAAAUACGUAUGUUUUUUUAAAAGCCAAUCGUGACCUCAUAGGCCUUAUUUGAGUCUAAACAUUCAUUUGGGGAACCUUGGGAAUGGAUUUAAGCUCUUCGUCCACCCUAAAAUGUGAUUUGCAAUCGCACGUAUAUCUUUAAGAAAAAUAUAUACUUCUUUUAAAAAAAAAGUGUGUACAUUCUUCACAAAUAUAUAUAUAUAUAUAUAUAUAUAUAUAUAUAUAUAUAUAUAUAUAUAUAUAUAUAUAUUUGAUAGCCAACCAAGGCUCCAAUAAUCCCUGAUAAAAAUAUAUGUAUUUUUUAAAAUGAUGUAUGUAGUUUAACAAAUAUAAGAAAAAUUAAUUAAGGGGAAAUUAAUGUAAAAUAUUAAAUACAAUUUUUUUUUUUAUGAAAAAUAUAUUUUCUUUUAUAUUUUAUGUUAAUAAAAAAUUAAAGGUUUUAACAAAGCAAAAGGUUAGAACCAGAAAUUAAGUUAAAACCAUAAGAAAAAAAAAAAUAAAAGCACCAUCACUUACUAAUAUUUGAUUUGAAAAAAUAAAAAUAAAAAUAAUAAAAAUAAUAAAAUAGUGUUACAAAGAUAUUCUUACUUUCACAUGUAAUAAGAUUUAAAAAAUAAAUAAAUAUUUUAUUUGACAUUAAUAUAAAAAAUCUUAUAUCAUAAACCUCUAAAUAAUAAAAUAAAUUUUCUAAAUUUAAACCUUAAACCAUUAAAUGUAUUAUUAUAAUUAAUAUUUAAAAUCAUCAAGUAUAUUACUUUUGGGAUAAUAUUUUCAUUUUUGUUCAUUAUAUAUUUAUGUUUUUAUUUAAUUUCUUAUUAUUAGCUAUUUAUUAUAUAUUAUUAUUUUAAGUUUAAUAUAUCCAAAAAAUAAUUAAAAUCAAUAAAUACGGAGAGUGAAAAAAUUUGAAAUUAAAGAGGUUUUAUAAGAGAAUACAUGAGCAUAUUAAGAGAAAUGGUAAAAGAAAGAAAGAAAAAUAACAAUAUUUUUAAAUGUGAUAGGUGGCAAUUGAUAGGAUGGUUAAGGAUGGUAAUGAGACAGGUUUUUUCGGAUACUCGUCCUGUCCAGGCCCUAAUGGGACGGAUUUGAAAUUUAAAUAAACGGGUUUGAGAUAUUUUUAAAGCUUGAGAUAAGUUUGGGGCAAGUUCGGGUAUUAUCUUGUCCCAUCCCGUCACACCUUGAUUAUAUAUAAAAUUAAUUUUAAAAAUUAAAUUAAAUUAAUUUUUAUUUUCUUAUUUUUAAUAUAUAGAUAAUAAUAAUAAUAAAUUUUCAAUAAAUAAGUUUUAAAAAAAUUAUAAUAAUUCAAUUAUUUAUAAAAUAUAUUUAUUUUAAUGUUUUUUAGAAAUUAAAAUAAUUUUUUUAAAAGAAUUAAAAUUUUUUCAAAAAAGGGUUAAAUGGGUAAGGCGGAACGGGUAUGAGAAUUUCUCAUACCCGCCCGCAUUAUUUAAUUUUUUUAAUGGGACAACGAUGAAAGUUAUUUUGAAUAAACGAGACAAGGUUGGGAUGAGAGCUACUCAUCUUAAACAUGCCUUGUUGCCUUUCCUAGUGAAAGAGGAAAAAAAAAAAAAAAAACAAAAGCCAAAAAACAAAAAAAGGAAAAAAGUAGGAACAUGUUUUUUUCCCAAAUAGAAAACGUAAAAGUAAAGUCCAACAAUUUUUUUUUUUUUGGUUAUAUAUAUAGCAUGGUGGGGAGGGUAUAUUCCAUAUUACAUGAGACUUCCAUGGCGGGGAAGGUAUAUUUCAUAUCACAAACUUACUCAAUUGUGUUUUUCCUUUUAGGAUAUGGAAGGGCUUUCCUUAUGCCCAAGAAAUGCAUAGAUUCAAUUGAAGAAAUUGAGGAAUAUGGUUGUUCUUUUUUUUUUUUUUUUUUUUUUUUUUUUUUUUUUUUCUUUUUUUCCUUUUUUCCUUUUUUAAAAAAAGAUGAGCCAAGGUGGAACUCAGGUGGAACACAUUGGUUCCAGUCAUUUUCUUGGGCAAAGAUAUGUCCAGGAUAUGGGAAAGGGGCAUUAAAUUAAAUAUCUUUUGAAAAGUUUAUUAUAAUCAUUUCACACAAUAUAAAUUUCACUAAAUUUUUCGAACUAAGGUUCUCUGAUAAUUACUUUAUAAUAAUAAAAUUAAUUCUUACAUUACAUGUAAUAUUCAAAUUUAAAAAAUCCAAUCUCAAAUAAUUUAAUAGCUAAAUUUAAAUUUAAUUUUUGAAACUCCAAGUUUCGAAAUGUGACUUGGCAAGAAUUUAAAGUACUGAUUUUCGACUAACUUUUCACAAAUUUUGCCUAAUUAAAUAAAAUAUUAGCAUGUGAAUGUUCACUAACAUCACGUAAUUCAUUGAUUUAGAGGAUUCAAUUUGGUUGAUGUUGAGGAUAGUCAUCGGCAGUAGACUAACAUCUUCUCGACCAAUUAACAUACCAACAGUGAUUAGGCCAAAUGUGGUGAUCGAAUUCCAUGGAAAAGCAGCAAAAAGGGAGGUGCGUUGGAGAGAAGGAAGGCGGUCAACCAAGCAGGAACAGUGGAGAAAUUGGCCUCGAGCCUAAGGAGCAUAGGAAUGAAAUUAAUGAAAUCAGUCCUAGGAUGAAAAUUUGGAUUGGGUCUGUCCAAAAAGCAGAAGAAAAGACGAAACCUCACUAUCAAUGGCCAAGGAUACCGAAGGUUCCUCUGAUGCUGAGGGGGACCUGGGAUUUCGAGAAAUUCUAUGAACCAAGGGUAAUAUCAUUCGGUCCUUACCACCAUGGCAAGCCCCAACUUCACCCAGUGGAAAUGAUCAAGCCUCUUAUGUGCCAAAAAAUUCCUGGAUGACAGUAACCAGGACAUCGAAGCUUUGUACACAAAAAAUGGAAGGAAAAUCAAGGAAGUGAGGAACUGCUAUGAUUGGAGUGGUACAAACGAGUAUGAUGAUGAGGCACUCGCCUGGAUGAUGCUUCUGGAUGGGUGUUUUUUACUAUAUUUCAUUCACUGUGUAGUGAGAAGAAAUCAGAGUAAGUUGCAUGGUUUGAAUGUUAAAGAUUAUAUGAUUACUUUUGUGCACCAGGACUUGUUCUUGCUUGAGAACCAACUUCCCUUUGGAGUCCUCAAGUUGAUUUUUGAGGAAUCAGAAUUCAAUAUUGAUGGUUCACCAAUGCAAGAGAUGAUAAAAAAAUUCGUCAUUGACACCGGUAGGCCAGAAGGGUCGACAUCAGAAAUACAGAUGGAAGAGCCCUCUCAUCUCCUCGACCUCUUGCGAAGUGCUCUCCUAGGCGGGUCUAAAAAGAGUAGCAAGCAAGAAGCUCAGGGGUUCUGUUGCCCAUGGAAAAAAGGCAAACAACAGGGCAAUCGGCUGUCUUUUUGACACAUCAAGGAGCUUAAAGCUACCGGGAUCUAUCUCAAACCGAGUAGAACGAGUUCCUUGACAGACAUUUCUUUCAAUUCCAACUUCUUCUAUGGUUACAAGGAACUUCCCCCAAUAAUCAUUGAUGGCUCCACGAAGCCCACGUUCUUGAACAUGGUAGCCUAUGAAAUGAGUCCAGAUGGUCCAGAUGGCCCAGGUGGCUAUGCGGUCAGUUCUUAUAUAUGCUUCCUUGACAACCUCAUUGAUCAUGCAGACGAUGUCAAGGAGCUGAGAUCUAAGCACAUUCUCUACAACUAUCUUGGCAGCGAUAUAGAUGUGGCCCAAAUUUUCAACGAGAUUGCCAAUGACUUGGUAGACACCGAAGCUUAUGAAAGUGUGAAAGCCCGUAUUCAGGAACACUACGGCAAGAGCGUGAAUACUUGGAUAGCUGAAGCCCUUCACAACCAUUUCAGCUCUCCAUGGAUUCUCAUGGCUUUCAUUGCUGCUGUUUUGAUACUACUAGUUCCUAUGCAUUUGAUUUCAGAAUUUAAAUUGUUUUUUUCUUUUUACUUUUUCAUGAAUUAUUAUAAACUUUUGAUCGAAUAGAAAAAACCAAAAUAUUUGACUUUUUCUAAAUGGAAAAAGUAACAUAUUGGUUUUUCUUUACUAUUUUAAUGUUUGAUAGAUGAUCUGCACCCAUCGAGUUAAUCAAUUCAAAAAGUGUUGUUCAACAGUGUUGGAAAAUCAUCUAAUCCUGUCUCCUUGUAGAACAACUUGAACAAAAAUUUAUUGCUUACAGUUAGCAACCAUUGUGGGGCAUCCUGGCUGCCCAAACACACAUUUUCUGUUGGAAUGUGAUGCAUCAGAGACAACACUUCUUUAAUUCCUUCCCAAUCAUGGGAGUCUCUAAUAAAAUUAGGAUUCCGAAGCUCUGCAUCCUCGUCCUGUACAGAAUGGUCUGCCACACAUGCCUCCUCAUUCACCAGAAUUAUAAACUAAUUUAGGAACCUCAUCUUAAGAGAUCCACCCAUAGACCAAACAUCUUAACCAUAAAUCACAUUUGAGUCCUUUCUAUGAUUUUAUUGGAAACUUUAUAGCCUCAACAACACAUAACCAUUUGUAAAUCAAGCCCUUCACUAUUGCCCCAGUCAACAUCUUAUUCAGCCUCAACAUUAUGCUAAUAGCACCUUCAACUACAAUUUCGACAAUGCCACUCCUUACUGGUGUGGUUGUAGUCUUUUGUGCACAUGACCAGUUGUAACUUUUCUCUAACUACUGAGCAUUUCUAUCACAAAGGAUUUAUUGAUUUAACAUCCUGUUGAAAAAACUUCUCCUUCAGUCGAGGUAUGCAUAGAUCAUACAUAAUCCCACAUUCCACAAACACCUUUCCACUUCAUUCCUUCCAUUCUAAUAUUAAUGCACAAAGAAGUUGCAUGCAGAACAGAGAAUCUAAAUGUCAGAGGGUCUACCUGAUCAUCAACCUUCAUAUGCUUUUAGAACAGAUUGGCAUCAGGGCAUUCUCUAGUCAAUGGUCGUAAGCCCCUACCAUAGCACAAAGUAUUUUUAAGCGGCAAGGUACUCAAGAGAAAGUAAAGAAAAAGAAAAGGAGAAAAGAAAAAGGACAGAACAAUAGGUUCCUUAUUAUUUGUACACUUCCAUUAUUAUAUAUCACAAUGUUGCUUGGUGUUUAGCAAUAGUAUUCCCACCAGCAUCUUGAGUCUGCCAGGGAGAAAUAAACGUACUCGGGUCUAGAACUUACAAAGCUCCCAACUUGCUAGUGGAAACUGGUAUAGAACCAACCAAAUUAUUUCUGUAUCCUAUGAAGAUUUGAAAAUUAUAUAAUCUUCCUAUGUCAGAAGGGAUGACACCAUUGUGAUUGUUGUCAACAAUGCCCAGCAUCAGCAAGCCAGUGCAGUUACAAAUGCUUUCAGGAAUGACACCUUCCAAAAAGUUAAGUCCAGAACCUAGAAAUGCAAGAUUUCCAAGGAAUGUUGAACAAUUCUACAUGGAAUGGUACAACACUAGUUGCUUCAUAGUGCCAAGAUUAUGGGGGAUGCCCUCAUUGGAGCCAACUAUUGGAACAAAUUAGCAUGCUAUUGACAACUACUCCACUGUGUUGCCUGCAAAUUAAAUUUUCCAUUGGUGGUCUUCUUCCACAUAUCUGGUGCCACACAGCUCUUGAUAUAGCAAGGAUUGCUCUAGACUUGAUGAGUACCUCAAAAAAUGCCAAGGAAAGUACAGUGAUUAAUCUAACAUGCUUUAAGUCAGAGGCUCUUCCUCCCAUCCAUGACCAGGGAGUCUCUUUGAUUUCAACCUUUUUAACACUCAAUAUUAGUUUUCAAUAUUUGUUUCAUCUUAUAGUAUAGAGUUACUGAAACAGAGUAACUUGCUUCAAACAUAUUCUUAAGAGACUCACAGGCGAAGACGGCACAAACCUAGAUUACCUCAAAGUGUUGGAUCCCUGCCUGUAUGCAAACACCCCUUCAUAAUAUAAGAUCUAUCCAACUAAGCACCAAAAAUCCAUAUUCCUAUACAUGACCAAAAUAGUAAAGCUAAUCCAUACAUUUUUAGGCACAUAUAUCAGGUAAAUAAGAACUAAGAAUCAAAAGAAUAAACCUAAACUAGAUGAUUCAACAGGACGUAAUUCAGAAGUGAUAUUUCACGAAAUGUGAUUUAGAGAAUUAAUACCCUGAAGGUGGUAGGCCAAACUUAGGUUCUGCAUAAAGGGAUACACCAAAAGACAUUCUGUUGGUCUUGUGUCUGGAAAGCUGCAUCUCCACCAGGACUUUCAUAAUCUAUUAAUUGUUUCACUGCAACUUUGGUGUUAUUUGCAAGCACUCCCUUAUGAACUUUUCCAAAGCAUCCCUGUCCAUGAACAUUUUUCUCACUAAAAUUGUCUAUAGCUAGCUGUAACUCCCUCCAUGCAAAUCUUCUCAAUUGGCCAAAUGCAAUUCUUUGGUCAACUUCACCUGAAAACAGAUGGAAAGAUGUCUAGAAAGAAAAUUUCCAAGAGAAUCAAAUUUUGCAUCAAAUCCUUAAAAUCUGUCCAAGUAUUUAAAAGAGAUAAAAGCAUAGUUCUUUUCAAUACAGAACUAUGGCAUGAUCUGUAAAUCUCUUCAAACUUUUUGUACUUGUAGGCAUCCCAAGAUAACAUCCAAUUGAGAACAAGCCUUUGAAAAUCUAACAAAAACUUGCUUUGAUGCUAUUAUCACCUAAAAAAGAAGAAGAAGAAAGCAUUGUAGCCAUUGCACAGAACCAGUCCCAUUCAUAAGGGUGGACGGGUGACACACCCAACCUUCACCAUUUUUUGCAUGAUUUGGUCAUACAUAAAGCAAUCAAUAUAUACUUGGUUAAACAUCAAGCUUAAUUUUAGCCUAAUCAAUUGACUAAAGCUGCAAUUACACUUAAGUUUAAACUACCAAAAGUUCACCCAUUUUCACAACAUUAAAAUUAAGCUAAAAUUACAGUGAAAGUGAUAGAACUUCAAGCCAAAAUUUAGGUGGAGAAAUGAAUUUAAUUUGUCUCAAGAGCUGAAUUACAAUGAAGUCAAUAAAUAAUAUUAUCUUCUUCGGUUCAUGAACACCAAACUGAAAUUACAACAAAAUUGAAAUCAACAUUUUGCAUCAAAUUAACCUAAUUUCACUCAUCUUUUAUCUUAAACUAAAAUACAUCUUGUAGCACUCAGUGAUCAAAGCCUGUUUUUCUUCCCCCUUACUUCCUGUUUAGACAUGGAGAGGUGAAACAAACUUUGAGAUAUUCAAUGAUUCAACAAAGCUUUAAUCAAAUACUAAACUGCUUGCUUUGAUGGAAGAGUUAGUUUCAUGAGGGAUGUGCCCAUCUUCCUUGAAGCUUGUACCUAUGCACUUACGAUUGGUAAAAGCCAGGCACCAUAAACAUAAGAGUUUUUGAAUUUUUAAGGGAAAAUCAUGCUUUCAAACACUAAUAAAAAAAGUACAUCUGUUCCUAGGGGAACUAGAACCCCUAUAUCCCCAAUCAUGAUCUAUAUAUUCCUUUGGGAACCCUCAAUAAGUGAUUACAGGUCCUCCUUAUUCCCAAAAUGAACUUUGGAACCUCAAGUACAUCCUUAAAAAAAAUAAGUACAUCUGUUUCUAAGGAAACCGAGACUCCUAUCCCCCUUAUAAUGGUCUAUCUAUUCCUUUGAGGACUCUCGAGAAUUGAUUAUAGGUCAUCCCCAUACCAAAACGGACUUUGGAACCCCAAAUACAUCUUUAAGAAAAAUAAGUACAUUUGUUUUUAGGGGAACCAAGACCCCUAUCUCUUUUAUCCUGGUCUAUAUAUUCCUUUGGGAGCCUUCUAGAAGUGAUUGGAAGCCCUCCCCUUCCCCAAAAUGGAAUUUGGAAUUUUAAGUACAUCAUUAAAACAAAUAAGUACAUCCUUAAGAAAAUUAAGUACAUCUAUUCCUAGGCAAACUAGGGUCCUAUCUCCCUUAUCAUGCUCUAUAUAUUCCUUUGGGUACUCUUUGGAAGUGAUCGGAGGUUCUCCCUAUCCUUAAAAUGGAAUUUGGAACCCCAAGUACAUCCUUAAGAAAAAUAAGUACAUUUGUUCCUAUGGGAAUCGAGACCCCUAUCUCUUUUAUCAUGGUCUAUAUAUUCCUUUGAGGACCCUUAGGAAUUGAUUGGAGGUCCUUCCUAUCCUUGAAAUGAACUUUGGAACCCUAAGUACAUCCUUAAGAAAAGUAAGUACCUCUAUUCCUAGGAAAAUCAAGACCUUUGUCUCAUUUAUCAUGGUUUCCAUAGAUUUCUUUGGGGACCCUUGGGAACUAAUUGGAGGUCCUCUCCAUUCUUGAAACGGACUUUAGAACCCCAGAUAUAUCCUUAAGAAAAAUAAGUACAUUUAUUCCUAAGAGAAUUGAGAUUCUUAUCUCCCUCAUCAUGGUUCAUAUAUUCUUUUAAUGACCCUCUAGAAGUGAUUUGAAGUCGUCUCUCACCCUGAAAUGGAUUUUGGAACCCUAAGUACACCCUUAAAAAAAAUAAGUACAUCCUUAAGGUUAAGGAAAUGCAUAUUGUUAGGAUAUGUAGAUGGAGUGAAAAUGUACAAGUUAUGGUGCUUAGAUUCAAAAUUCUCUAAUUUAUAAUUAACAGGGAUGUGGCUUUUAACGAGUAUGAAAUGUUGAGUCCAAGAAAGGAGCAACUUCAUGUAGAAAACAACCCUAGUAUGAGAGAAAAUGUGGAGUUUGUGCCUAACAUAGAAAAAACGAUUUCAAAAAAGCCAAAUGAGGAAGAAGUGCAACAUCUUGAUGAUAAAGAAAAGACAUCACAAUAGCAACAAUAUUAUUUGGCUAGAGAUAGAACGAGGAGGCAAAUUAAACCACCACAAAGGUAUGCUUAUGUAGAUUUGGUUACUUAUGCACUUGGUGUGGCAAAGAACAUUGAAAAAGAGGAAUUUCAAACUUAUCACUAGUAGAGAGUCUACACAAUAGAUUGUUGCCAUGAAUGAGGAAAUUGAAUCUCUUCAAAAGAAUCAUACUUGGAAACUAGUUGAGAAGCCUAAAAAUCAAAAGAUUGUUGGUUGCAAAUAGGUCUUCAAAAGAAAUUAAGGGAAGGAAUUUCAAGAGUAAGGAUGACAAGUUUAAAGCAUGCUUAGUGGCAAAGGGUUACACACAAAAGAAAGGAGUGGACUUCAAUAAAGUUGUCUCCAGUUGUGAAGCAUAGCUCAAUCAAAGUGUUACUUGCUAUGGUUGCUUUAUUUAAUUUAGAUUUAGAGCAACUUUAUGUCAUGACUGUUUUUCUACAUGGUAAGUUGGAAGAAUAGAUUUAUAUGAAUUAACCCGAGGAAUUCAUUAUUUCAAAAAAGACCAUGUUUGUUUGUUGAAGAAAUCUCUUUAUGGCUUGAAGCAAUCUCUUAAGCAAUGGUAUAAAAGGUUUGAUACUUUUAUUAUUGGCAAUGGCAACCAUAAGAGUGAGUAUGAUAAUUAUGUUUAUCACAAGGAAUUGUUUGAUGGUUCUUUCAUUUAUUUAUUGUUAUAUGUUAAUGACAUGUUAAUUUCCUGCAAGAAUAUGUUUGAUAUUAACAAGUUGAAAACUCAACUCUAAGGAGAGUUUGAAAUGAAAGACCUUAGAGUUGUGAAGAAAAUAUUAGGUAUGGAUAUUCAUAGAGACCAAAAAGUAGGGGAAUUGUACUUUUCACAAAAAAGUACAUUGAGAAAGUGUUAAAAUGCUUUGGAAUGCAAGGGUCAAAACCUAUGAAUACUCCAUUAGCAACUCCAAACUUUCAAGUGCUUUUGUUGGGAACCCUAUAUUACUUCGUUCCCAUGCCCUAGAUCUCAUAGGGUGCAUGCAUUUAUCCCUAGACAUCUCUAAACCUACUGUAGCGAAAAACUAAGUAUUCAAAAACCAAUAUUGAUACCAUAGAAAUCUUAGAUCUAGAGAAAAAAAAUCACAUACCUUUGAUUCAAAUGUUCUUGAAUUGAUUCCUAUUGAUGUAGAUAAGUCCAAAGUCAUAAUGGAUCUUGUAACACCAUGAUCUUCCGCCCGAUAACUCUUUAUUGUGUCUAGGCACUGAAAUGGUUGACAUCUUAAGGGUGGAGGUUAGACUUCUCUCUUUGGACUAUAUGGAGAAAAUGGCAAGACAUGGAAACCCUAACCCUUAACGGGUAUUUAUAGGCUUCUUAGUAAGCUUAAGUGACUUAAGCCCACCCAAAAAGGUUGCUAAUUAAUUAAUUAGUUAACAAUACAAGAUCCUAAUUAACCAAUUAGCUUAGUUAAGAGAUAUCACUAACUUAUCACCAUGCAACCUUGCAUAAUCACUAAAAUAUCCUUAUGCACAAAAAUGAACUAAAAACCUUUCCAACCCUCAUAAACUAUACCAUCAAGGAAUAUGAGCUCAAAGUAGGGACCACUAGGACCCAUAGGAGUACUAGCUCCCUUAGAAUAAAAUUCUAAAAUUGACUCAACAUCUCACUAUAGAAAGUCAACUGCACUCUAGUACCUUAUGUGUAUUACAACGAGACACCAAGUGCUCGGGUUCGUGACCUACAAUCUACUACAUGCAAACUCUCCAUGAACUGGUGUUUGUAGUCUAACAAAGUAGUGCUAUCACUUAUUAAGAUUAUCUCUCAAAUCCUUAAGUUAUAGAUUCCAUUUUUUUUAUGUGAUCAAAUGACAUACUCUAGCUCAAAGAAGGAUUUGUCAAAUUCCACUAAAUGAAUUAUUGUGGCCACAUAUUUCAUGAUUACAUAUCCUUUAGAUCACCCAAGGAGACGCGCUGUCUCAAUCCCAUGAGAUAUCAUGGUGCCUCUAUUGAGAAUACUUGUUGCCACCAACCUCCAUCAACAAUGACCCAAUCCAUGGGGAUAUGUGACCACUUUAGGGUCUCAUCCAUAAGUUAAAGUCUCUUAUUGAUUUCAACAUAUGCUUAAUAUUCUCUCAAGGUUGAGAGUCCAUGUAGUAUAGUCACUUAGUUAAUCAUAAAAUUUGAUAGUCUUGCAUCAUGAUUCAUCGUAGGUCCUAUCCAGUGUGCACCACAUAUACUAGCGUACUCACCAUAGGAAUCCCAUCCUAACGACCUAGAUAAGCAAUCCCUCCGAUUAGGAGGUGGUGCACUAUAGUCUCUACUAGAUUGUCCAAAUCCAUGAACCAAUUGUGGACAACUUAUCUAUUUAUAAGAAACCCAUGACUUGUAACUUUUGUGCAACUCCUAAUAUACCAAAGUCAUGUACAAUGUAAGAGACAUGUGUUGAAUGUUCAAAUCAAUAUUAAUACACCAAAAGGAUAGCAAGAGGAUGGUUAAGUCUGACUUUGUUACAUUAUGUUAUGCUUUUAAGGGCUCAAUCCCAACAACUUUAUCACCAUAGAUCAAAGAAGAAAUGGAGCACAUGUCACAUGUUCCUUAUGCUAGUGUAGUUGGGAACAUUAUGUAUGUCAUGGUUUGCACUAGGCUAGACAUUUCACAUGUAGUUAGUGUGGUGAGUAGAUAUAUGGAUCACUCUCGAAAGAUCCAUUGGCAAGCAGUGAACAAAUAUUUCGAUAUUUGAGAGAAACAUCACAUGUUGGCUUAACAUAUGAUAAAAGUAGUGACAUCUCUGAGAAAAUUGUUGGUUAUGUUGAUUCUAAUUAUGCUAGAGAUUUGGGGAAAAGAAGAUCUCAAACAAUUUGUGGUAGUGUUAUUAGUUGGAAAGAACCUUUGCAAUUUAUAGUUGCUUUAUCAACCACUGAAGUAGAAUACAUGGCGGUCAUAGAAGCGGUGAAAGAAGUUAUUUGCCUUAAGGGCUUGGUUGGAGAUUUAAGCUUACAAUAGGAGUUGAUUGUUGUGUAUUAUGAUAGCCAAAGUACCAUACAUUUGACUAAAAAUCAAAUGUUCCAUAAGAGGAGCAAACAUAUUGAUGUCAAUGCAUUUUAUUAUGGAUGUGAUCGCAAAGGGUGCUAUUGCAAUGAAAAAAAAAUCCCUAUAGUGGAGAAUCUUGCAGAUAUGAUGACUAAGUUCGUUUUUACAGUUAAAUUCAGGUAUUACUUGGACUUAAUUGAUGUUAAUAGUAUCUAAAGACUCCUUUAGGGUGUGGGAGUGAAGAAACAUGGAAGACUUUCGAGUUUGUUUGAAUCUUGAGAAUUUGAGCCAAGGUGGAGAUUAUUGAAAAGUGUCUCAGAUUCUAUUUUUGAGUCAAUUGGAAAGUUAUAGAUAGUUUCCUAAUAAAAAAAUAUUCUUGUAAGUGGGUUUCCUAUUAUUAUAGAGGAAAUAUUCUUUUAGGAAAAAACAUUUUUGAUAAUUAUACACUUAGUUUCCUAUAUAGAAUCUUUCUAUGUAAUUAGAGAAAUAUGUAUAAAAAGAUAUUUUGACCAAAAUAGUGGAAGUUUUUUUUUUGGGUAUAAUUGGGACUUUGGGAUUUGAAAGCUCUAAGAUUGUAAUAUCCUUCAAUAAUAAUGGAAAUUAUUUUUUAUCUUCACCUGUGGAUGUAGGUUUGAGGUCGAACCACAUAAAUUGUUAUGUACUUUGUGUGUUUUGUUUUUGUUAGGAAUUUGAGGCUAAUCCAAACUAUGGUAAUCACCUUGGGGGGGGGGGGGGGGGGAUAAAUAGGGUGAUGGUCUCUUUUUCACAAAUUUAAACUAUGCAAAAAUAAGAGUCAAUUAUAUGCAAAUAUAUAAUAAACAAAAUAAACACAAUUGCAUAUAAUUUAAAAGAGUUAGGGAAGAGAGAGUGCAAACAUGAGAGUUUAUAGUGGUUCGGUACUUCCUUGCCUACAUCCACUCUCCUCAACCUCCUAAUCGAGUGAGGGUUCCACUAUCUUGAAGCUUCAACCAAGUUUCCAAUCUCUUUACAAUUGGAUUAUGGUUCCAAUUCACCCUCUUGGACUUUUGGCUCCAAGCACCCUUUACACUUCUUCAAGAGAUAUCCCUCUCUUGAAUAACCUCUCAAGUGAUACCCCUCACUUGAGAAAAUCCCUCACAAAGAUAUACAAAUAAUGAUCUCACAAAAAUCCUAGUAAUAGAACUUUAGGCUCAAAGAUACAAGAAAAACUAGGAUUGAAUGGUGCACUAAAGAUAUGCAAGUUAUGAAACAAUGGUGCACUCAAAAACACUCUUCCAAGGCUCAAAUAUAAUCAAGAAUGAUUUGGAAAGGUUAAGCUCUUGAAACAAUGAAGAUUGGAGCCUUUUUAUAGAAGAGAAAAUCCAAACUAGCCGUUUGGGGGUUCGUCCGGUCGAGCUAUGGGUCGACUGGUUGACUAGCCAUUAGCAUUAAAUGCUUGGCAGGUGACCGUUGGGCCUUAGCCGGACCUCGACCGGGAAGAGAGUUACCUUGAUCGGGAAAAGAAGGCCACUAGGAGAGAGAGAAACUUUUGGCCUCCCUCGACCGGUACUCGACCGGACGAGCACAACUGGUUGACCGGUUCCUCGACCAGUUGAACUGGUUGAGCCAUUUUUUGGCUCAACACCCAACCCUUUUCAACUUAAAACCUCUUAACACAAGUUUGAAAAUUAUUUAACACAAGGUUUUAGUUGAAAACAUGAAAUCAUCCAAUUUUAAAGAUAUUUAAAACAAUAUUACUCUUGGAUGAUUUUGGUGCAUAAAUAAAGAAUGAAAUGCAUGAAAGUCCUAGUGCACCAACAACCUUACAAAGAGAUCUUAAGAAGUUUUGGUCUUGAAAAACUCUUCUCUUUGAGGUGGUCUUCUUCUUCGUGAUUUCUCCUUGGCUUGAUUUGUCUUUGGAUUGACACUUUGGAAGUCGUCUUGCCUAAUCACACUUGAAAUAUAAUCAUUAGUUCUAAACCUUGUUUUGUUAUCAUCAAAAUCAAGAUUAACCAAACCUUGGUUUCACAGUUUUCAUUUUUUUUUUCUCCCUAUUAUUAUUACUAUUAUUAUUAUAUAUACACCCAUGUGACUUGCAUGGUGGAAAGAGAAUAUUUCAUAUUCCAGGCAAGAAGCAAAGGUUACUCAAUUGUGUUUUUCCUUUUAGAAUGCAGAAGGGGUUUCCUUAUACUGAAGAAAUGCAUAGAUUCAAUUGAAAAAAUUGAGAAAUAUGGUUGUUCUUUUUCUUUUUCUUUUUCUAAAUCAUAGAUGAGCCAAGAUGAAACCCAUGUGGAACACAUUGGUUCCAGGCAUUUUCUUGGACAAAGAUAUGUCCAAAAUAUGGGAAAAUGACAUUUUAAAAUUAAAAAUGAUUUUAAAUUUUAAAUUUCUUUUUUUAUAUGUUUAAAAGCUUUUCAACUAGUAGAUUCGAAUUAUAACUUCCAAUUUAAUCGAAGAUUAAAAAUUACAAUAAUGAGAUUCUCAAUUCUUCAAAAUGAAAUUAAUUUAAUCCAUUUCCUUUGUAAAUUAUACCUCAAUUCAAUCAACCUUUCAAAAAUUAAAUUUACUUAAUGAUAAUAUUCAUAUUUAAUCAAUUUACCUUUUUGUGUAAAUUCCUAAAUUUAUAUAACAUAAUUUAAUCUUAAUUUUAUUUUGAUUCAAUUUUGUUUCACGUUUUAUAAUUUUAUAAGGUUGAAUUCUAAUAAUAAUUAAAAAUUAAAUUGAUUUGUUAUAAUAUUAAAUUAAAUAUCUUUUGAAAAUUUUAUUAUAACUAUUUGACAUAAUACAAAUUUCACCAAAAUUUUUAAUUAACUUUCUCUAAUGAUUACUUUAUAAUAAUAAAAUUAAUUAUUACAAUACAUGUAAUAUUCAAAUUUCAAAAAUUCAAGCUCAAAUAAUUUAAAUUUAAUUUUGAAGUUCCUAAUUUCCAAAUGUGACUCUCGACAAGAAUUUAAACUAACUUUCGACUAUUUUUUCACAAAUUUCACCUAAUUAAAUAAUAUAUUGACACGUGAAUGUUCACUAACGACACGUGAUCACGAUUCAUUUUGGUUGAUGUUCAGGAUGGUCAUCGGCAGUAGACUAACAUCUUCUGGACCAAUUAACAUACCAGCAGUGAUUAGGCCAAGGUGGUGAUCCAAUUCCAUGGAAGGGCAGCAAGAAAGGAGGAACGUUGGAGAGAAAGAAGGCGGCCAACCAAGCAGGAACAGUGGUCAAACUGGCCCCGAGUCGAAGGAGCGUAGGAUUGACAUUGUUGAAAUCAGUCAUAAGGUGAAAAAUUGGAUUGAGUCUCUCAAAAAAUGCAGAAGAAAAGACUCAAUCUCAAAGUCAAUGGCCAAGGACACCAAAGGUUCCUCACAUGCUGAGGGGGACCCAGGAUUUCAACAAAUCUACGAACCGAGGGUAAUUUCAAUCAGCCCUUACCACCAUGGCAAGCCCCACCUUCACCCAGGGGAAAUGAUCAAGCCUCUAUGUGCCCCAAACUUCCUGGAUGAUAGUAAGCAGGACAUCGAAGCUUUGUACACAAAAUUGAAAGUAAUAUGAGGCAGUGAAAAAGUGCUAUGAUUGGAGUAGUACAAACGAGUAUGAUGAUGAGGCGCUCGCCUGGAUGAUGCUUCUGGAUGGGUGUUUUU
rnacentral:lncRNA from 1 species